CACGGAGCGGUAGGGCAAGCCUG
rnacentral:piRNA from 1 species